rnacentral:rRNA from 1 species
CGGUACCUAACCAUGACAAGUCGACGGUGAGCAGGAGCUUGCUCUUGUGGAUCAGUGGCGAACGGGUGAGUAACACGUGAGCAACCUGCCCCUGACUCUGGGAUAAGCGCUGGAAACGGCGUCUAAUACUGGAUAUGUGACGUGACCGCAUGGUCUGCGUUUGGAAAGAUUUUUCGGUUGGGGAUGGGCUCGCGGCCUAUCAGCUUGUUGGUGAGGUAAUGGCUCACCAAGGCGUCGACGGGUAGCCGGCCUGAGAGGGUGACCGGCCACACUGGGACUGAGACACGGCCCAGACUCCUACGGGAGGCAGCAGUGGGGAAUAUUGCACAAUGGGCGAAAGCCUGAUGCAGCAACGCCGCGUGAGGGAUGACGGCCUUCGGGUUGUAAACCUCUUUUAGCAGGGAAGAAGCGAAAGUGACGGUACCUGCAGAAAAAGCGCCGGCUAACUACGUGCCAGCAGCCGCGGUAAUACGUAGGGCGCAAGCGUUAUCCGGAAUUAUUGGGCGUAAAGAGCUCGUAGGCGGUUUGUCGCGUCUGCUGUGAAAUCCCGAGGCUCAACCUCGGGCCUGCAGUGGGUACGGGCAGACUAGAGUGCGGUAGGGGAGAUUGGAAUUCCUGGUGUAGCGGUGGAAUGCGCAGAUAUCAGGAGGAACACCGAUGGCGAAGGCAGAUCUCUGGGCCCGUAACUGACGCUGAGGAGCGAAAGGGUGGGGAGCAAACAGGCUUAGAUACCCUGGUAGUCCACCCCGUAAACGUUGGGAACUAGUUGUGGGGUCCAUUCCACGGAUUCCGUGACGCAGCUAACGCAUUAAGUUCCCCGCCUGGGGAGUACGGCCGCAAGGCUAAAACUCAAAGGAAUUGACGGGGACCCGCACAAGCGGCGGAGCAUGCGGAUUAAUUCGAUGCAACGCGAAGAACCUUACCAAGGCUUGACAUAUACGAGAACGGGCCAGAAAUGGUCAACUCUUUGGACACUCGUAAACAGGUGGUGCAUGGUUGUCGUCAGCUCGUGUCGUGAGAUGUUGGGUUAAGUCCCGCAACGAGCGCAACCCUCGUUCUAUGUUGCCAGCACGUAAUGGUGGGAACUCAUGGGAUACUGCCGGGGUCAACUCGGAGGAAGGUGGGGAUGACGUCAAAUCAUCAUGCCCCUUAUGUCUUGGGCUUCACGCAUGCUACAAUGGCCGGUACAAAGGGCUGCAAUACCGUGAGGUGGAGCGAAUCCCAAAAAGCCGGUCCCAGUUCGGAUUGAGGUCUGCAACUCGACCUCAUGAAGUCGGAGUCGCUAGUAAUCGCAGAUCAGCAACGCUGCGGUGAAUACGUUCCCGGGUCUUGUACACACCGCCCGUCAAAGUCAUGAAAGUCGGUAACACCUGAAGCCGGUGGCGCGUUACAA